UUCUGGCUGGUAGGGUUUGGGGGCUUGAUACUGUAGGUUCGGGGCUACAGGAAAUGAGCAAAACUGGAAGAAGACUAGUAGGUAACUGCUUUUUUUGGUUCACUCCCCCACCCCUCCAACCAGGAAUUGCCUCUCCCUUUCCUGACCCUGAAUGGUCCUUCUUCCAGAAUUUUUCUCUGUAUCCAACACCCACAGAUGGGAGAUGUGACUUCCUUCCAACAUACGGAAUGGAGCAAAGGUGACCGGCUGUCACUUCCAUGAUUAUAUCACGUGAGUCCAAAUGCAGCCAAUCACCAGCCACCUACACCAUCACCUGGCGGAAGCGGCUGAGGGAAUCAGCUGUGCGCCUGGAAGAGGAAAGGCAGAUUCUGGGAUACUGGAGUCAGAAUAUGCUCAACAGUAUAAAUGG